rnacentral:rRNA from 1 species
CUGCAAGUCGAGCGGACAGAUGGGAGCUUGCUCCCUGAUGUUAGCGGCGGACGGGUGAGUAACACGUGGGUAACCUGCCUGUAAGACUGGGAUAACUCCGGGAAACCGGGGCUAAUACCGGAUGGUUGUUUGAACCGCAUGGUUCAAACAUAAAAGGUGGCUUCGGCUACCACUUACAGAUGGACCCGCGGCGCAUUAGCUAGUUGGUGAGGUAACGGCUCACCAAGGCAACGAUGCGUAGCCGACCUGAGAGGGUGAUCGGCCACACUGGGACUGAGACACGGCCCAGACUCCUACGGGAGGCAGCAGUAGGGAAUCUUCCGCAAUGGACGAAAGUCUGACGGAGCAACGCCGCGUGAGUGAUGAAGGUUUUCGGAUCGUAAAGCUCUGUUGUUAGGGAAGAACAAGUACCGUUCGAAUAGGGCGGUACCUUGACGGUACCUAACCAGAAAGCCACGGCUAACUACGUGCCAGCAGCCGCGGUAAUACGUAGGUGGCAAGCGUUGUCCGGAAUUAUUGGGCGUAAAGGGCUCGCAGGCGGUUUCUUAAGUCUGAUGUGAAAGCCCCCGGCUCAACCGGGGAGGGUCAUUGGAAACUGGGGAACUUGAGUGCAGAAGAGGAGAGUGGAAUUCCACGUGUAGCGGUGAAAUGCGUAGAGAUGUGGAGGAACACCAGUGGCGAAGGCGACUCUCUGGUCUGUAACUGACGCUGAGGAGCGAAAGCGUGGGGAGCGAACAGGAUUAGAUACCCUGGUAGUCCACGCCGUAAACGAUGAGUGCUAAGUGUUAGGGGGUUUCCGCCCCUUAGUGCUGCAGCUAACGCAUUAAGCACUCCGCCUGGGGAGUACGGUCGCAAGACUGAAACUCAAAGGAAUUGACGGGGGCCCGCACAAGCGGUGGAGCAUGUGGUUUAAUUCGAAGCAACGCGAAGAACCUUACCAGGUCUUGACAUCCUCUGACAAUCCUAGAGAUAGGACGUCCCCUUCGGGGGCAGAGUGACAGGUGGUGCAUGGUUGUCGUCAGCUCGUGUCGUGAGAUGUUGGGUUAAGUCCCGCAACGAGCGCAACCCUUGAUCUUAGUUGCCAGCAUUCAGUUGGGCACUCUAAGGUGACUGCCGGUGACAAACCGGAGGAAGGUGGGGAUGACGUCAAAUCAUCAUGCCCCUUAUGACCUGGGCUACACACGUGCUACAAUGGACAGAACAAAGGGCAGCGAAACCGCGAGGUUAAGCCAAUCCCACAAAUCUGUUCUCAGUUCGGAUCGCAGUCUGCAACUCGACUGCGUGAAGCUGGAAUCGCUAGUAAUCGCGGAUCAGCAUGCCCGGUGGAAUACCGUUCCCGGGGCCUUGUACACACCGCCCGUCACACCACGAGAGUUUGUAACACCCGAAGUCGGUGAGGUAACCUUUUAGGAGCCAGCCGCCGAAGGUGGGACAGAUGAUUGGGGUGAAU